GCGGGCCGGGGCGCCGCAGGUGAGGUGCGCCCGGGGCGCCAGGAUGCUCUGUGGUCCAGGGCGCCCGCAUGCUCUGUGGUCCAGGGCGAGCUCGGACCGAGCACCAAGGCCCAGGGGCGUGAACAGUGCGCCCCGGCACUUGGAUCCCUAGCUGGGCUGCCAUCAGCUCCCUGCAUGGCCUUAGCAAGCUGCUUGAACUUUCUGAGCGUCUGUCUCCUCAUCUCGCUGGAGAAAAGUGAGUGGAUGGAAAGUGACACCUGUCUGUGUGUCGGGCUCUGCGAGGACAGAAUGAAUAACCCGAUGAACCGGCAGUGGAGUGUGGUUAGCUGGGAGGAAUGCAGCUCCCCUGCCAGGUGGACUGGCUCUGAACCCCAAGAUGGCCACUCGCUGUGCUCAAGCCAGUUAUGUAACCUUUCUCUGCUUCAUUCUCCCCAUCUCAGUGGUGCCAUUGCUGCUCCCUCCUUUCCAAGAUGCAUGAGAGAAGGAGAACAGUGUGGUGAAAAUACAUUGGAGUUUGAUGAAAAUUUGCUUUCCUUGCGAGGCAAUUGAUUAGAUCACGCCUGUCUAUCGAAAGGGAUCAGCUCAGUUCAGAAGUAACAGCACAUCCUAUUUCUCAACCUGAGCUGCACCUCCAUGGCUUCCAGGUGAGGUGGGUGAGUGAGUGAGUCAGGGAUGGAGGAAGCGGGUAGGAACAUGGGAAUGUGGCUUCAGGAAUUCCACGUAGAAUGAUCUGAGCCAAGUGGGACCUCCUAGUCGCCUCCAGGAUGCCCCUCUAUGAUAAGGAAUGAUUCCCCUCCAUCUUCUAAGGAGAAGCGCUCCUGCAGUGGGUCCGGGGCACACACUUCCCAGAAACAGCUGCUAGAAAUGAUCCAAGGCAAACAGGACCCCGUUGUCCUGUCCCCUGUUCCCCAGAAGACAUCACACUCUGCCUUCCUUAAUCAGGAGUCCGGUGGACUCUGAGAAAAUUGACGUCUUUGAUUUUACAAGUCUCCUUGUUCCCCUGUAAAUAUAUGCUCACUACUGAAAAUAUAGAAAUAGAAGCGAAUUUUUGAACUUCGCAUGUAAUCUAGGAAAAGAAGUUUGAGUGAGUUUGAAGUGGGAUGGAGGAGGGAAAGGGGUGGACUGGAGCUCCUGGAUUUAAUACAGGGAAGGCCCUUUUUUAAAGGUUUUUUUUUUUUUUUU
rnacentral:lncRNA from 1 species